rnacentral:rRNA from 1 species
GUUAAAACUCAAAUGAAUUGACGGGGGCCCGCACAAGCGGUGGAGCAUGUGGUUUAAUUCGAUGCAACGCGAAGAACCUUACCUGGUCUUGACAUCCACGGAAGUUUUCAGAGAUGAGAAUGUGCCUUCGGGAACCGUGAGACAGGUGCUGCAUGGCUGUCGUCAGCUCGUGUUGUGAAAUGUUGGGUUAAGUCCCGCAACGAGCGCAACCCUUAUCCUUUGUUGCCAGCGGUCCGGCCGGGAACUCAAAGGAGACUGCCAGUGAUAAACUGGAGGAAGGUGGGGAUGACGUCAAGUCAUCAUGGCCCUUACGACCAGGGCUACACACGUGCUACAA